AAACGUAGGAGGCGAGCGUUAUCCGGAUUUACUGGGCGUAAAGGGCAAGUAGGCGGUUGCCAAAGUUGGGCGUGACAUCUCUCGGCUUAACUGGGAGGGGUCGCUCAAAACUAGGCGACUUGAGGGCAGGAGAGGGAAGCGGAAUUCCUAGUGUAGCGGUGGAAUGCUCAGAUAUUAGGAAGAACACCAGUGGCGAAGGCGGCUUCCUGGCCUGUACCUGACGCUGAGAGGCGAAAGCUAGGGGAGCGAACGGGCUUAGAUACCCCGGUAGUCCUAGCUGUAAACGUUGGAUACUGGGUAUUGGGGGUGACAAUGCCCUCAGUGCCGAAGCAAACGCGUUAAGUAUCCCGCCUGGGGACUACGGCCGCAAGGUUAAA
rnacentral:rRNA from 1 species